rnacentral:rRNA from 1 species
GACAGAGGAUGCAAGCGUUAUCCGGAAUGAUUGGGCGUAAAGCGUCUGUAGGUGGCUUUUUAAGUCUGCCGUCAAAUCCCAGGGCUUAACCCUGGACAGGCGGUGGAAACUACCAAGCUGGAGUACGGUAGAGGCAGAGGGAAUUUCCGGUGGAGCGGUGAAAUGCGUAGAGAUCGGAAAGAACACCAACGGCGAAGGCACUCUGCUGGGCCGACACUGACACUGAGAGACGAAAGCUAGGGGAGCAAAUGGG